GGAUGCGAUCAUACCAGCACUAAAGCACCGGAUCCCAUCAGAACUCCGAAGUUAAGCGUGCUUGGGCGAGAGUAGUACUAGGAUGAGUGACCUCCUGGGAAGUCCUUGUGUUGCAUUCC
rnacentral:rRNA from 1 species